rnacentral:rRNA from 1 species
AUUGAACGCUGGCGGCAUGCCUUACACAUGCAAGUCGAACGGCAGCACGGGAGCAAUCCUGGUGGCGAGUGGCGAACGGGUGAGUAAAGUAUCGGAACGUGCCCAGUCGUGGGGGAUAACGUAGCGAAAGUUACGCUAAUACCGCAUACGAUCUAUGGAUGAAAGCGGGGGAUCGCAAGACCUCGCGCGAUUGGAGCGGCCGAUAUCAGAUUAGGUAGUUGGUGGGGUAAAGGCUCACCAAGCCGACGAUCUGUAGCUGGUCUGAGAGGACGACCAGCCACACUGGGACUGAGACACGGCUCAGACUCGUACGGGAGGCAGCAGUGGGGAAUUUUGGACAAGGGGCGAGAGCCUGAUCCAGCCAUGCCGCGUGCAGGAUGAAGGCCUUAGGGUUGUAAACUGCUUUUGUACGGAACGAAAAGGUUUGGCCUAAUAAGCUGAGCUCAUGACGGUACCGUAAGAAUAAGCACCGGCUAACUACGUGCCAGCAGCCGCCGUAA